CUUCUCCCUCUUUCUCUGUAUAUACUGAUAGUUGUCGGCGGCGGCGACUCGCGAUGUCGGAAACGAAGGUGUUCGAUGCGGCGGCGGCGACGGAGUUGGUGAAGGAACUGAGAGGUAGUUUUGGCUCCGGCAACACUCGGAGCUACGAGUGGAGAGUGGCGCAGCUUGAGAGUCUCUUGAAGCUCAGCGUUGACCAUGAGGAAGAUAUUUGCGAUGCGCUUCGCUCUGACCUCUCCAAGCCUGCGUUGGAAUCCGUUAUUCAUGAG
rnacentral:misc_RNA from 1 species